UACGUAGGGUGCAAGCGUUGUCCGGAAUUAUUGGGCGUAAAGAGCUCGUAGGCGGUCUGUCGCGUCUGGUGUGAAAAUCCAGGGCUUAACCCUGGACCUGCAUCGGGUACGGGCAGACUAGAGUGCGGUAGGGGAGAUCGGAAUUCCUGGUGUAGCGGUGAAAUGCGCAGAUAUCAGGAGGAACACCGGUGGCGAAGGCGGAUCUCUGGGCCGAAACUGACGCUGAGGAGCGAAAGCGUGAGGAGCAAACAGG
rnacentral:rRNA from 1 species